rnacentral:lncRNA from 1 species
CACAAGCUUUGCGCUCUGUUCUUGUUACUGACCUGCUUUUUCUGCCGCUCCAUGUUAUUUUUAACAACUACAUACUCUGUUCCAGCUCAAAAUGCUUUUAAUUUCUGCUCAUUGGACAUGCUUGCAUCCUACUGUUAUGGAAUAUUUAGAGCAGAAAAUCUUUCAGGGAUAUAAAUGGAAGAGUAGGAGACGAUGUGGCUGUUGUCUAGCCUAAGUCAAGUCCCCCAAAUUCAAUGUAAGCCUUUCCUACUGUUAUGGAAUACUUAGAGCAGAAAAUCUUUCAGGGAUAUAAAUGGAAGAGUAGGAGACGAUGUGGCUGUUGUCUAGCCUAAGUCAAGUCCCCCAAAUUCAAUGUAAGCCUUUCCUCAGUGCCAAAGCAGUUUCACCCCAAGGCGCAAGGCAAGAUGGAUCAUGUUGUGAUAUAUAAAUAAUUGUGAUUUGUGAAACAAAUGGGUGAUUACAUCAAAAUAAAACAAACAGAUUGUAAAACUGAAUUACACCCCCAUAAAGAAAUAAAACAGACCCUUACAAGGUCAAGAGGCCUAAAACCUCCUUACUAUCCUAAGAAUAAAAUAUAGUAGAACUUUAAAUCUUUAGGCGCCUGUUCGUCCAAGAAUGCAUGAAUUAUGACUGGUUGUAGAGACAACCCUUUUAGCUUUAGCUGUAAGAAAACCCAUAUAUUAAAUACUUAGCAAAAACCUGUAGAAUGUAUAUGUAUAUGAUAUAAUUAAUAUGCAUGAAGUAGCUAAGAUAAAUACUAAAUGUACCCUGUAGUAGAGGUGUGCAGAUUUGGGAAACUGGUCCCAUUUCUGUCACCCAGCCGGCUGCUUGCUUUUACCAUAUAACAAACUAUUAUUUGAAACUUAUAGAAACUCGAGACUUUGUUUAUCACAAUGUCAAUGGCAGAAAAGAAUUUAUUACAGCAGCAAAAAAAAUGCAAAACUCCUGUAUCGUGCUUUCAGAUCAUGGGGACUUCAUUUGCAGUUCUGAAACAGCCCUCUGCCUCUCCUCUUCCCUGACACCCACCCCCACGAAGGCAGUCUCUCCAGGUGAGGCCCCAGCCCAGCCUGGGCUCACACUGGUGACUGCUGCAGAAAGAGGUGGGGCUGCCACAGCCACAGCUCCCUCCACCCUUCCACCGACCUGAGUUCAGCUGUUGCUGCUGCUGCUUUGCCAGUGCCAGAGUCGUCCCUGUGCAGUGUAAUUCCAGCAUCCUUGGAGCAUCCAACAGCUGCCGGGCACUUGCAGCUCUCUCAUGAAUUUCUUUCUUUUUCUUCAAGUGGCUGACUUCUUGCUUCAAGGCUACUAUUUUCCAUCUGCUCACAGAAACACUGUAAGUACAACUUCUGCUGUGUCUCCUCAGUUAUUACCUCUGUGAAAUUCAUCUGUCUUGUACUGAAUAGUAGGAGUUACUAGUUAAAAGAGGUUUGUUGCGGUCUCUGCUCCUGUUUGAGGUAUUCAAGUGGACCAUUAGCAUUUUAGUUUUUAGCUGGAUUAAAACAUGAAAUGAAAUCAAAACAACUAAAAAUGUUGGUGGUUUCCUGGUUGCCUUUUUCCUACAUUGUAGCUAAAUUGACAGUUUAUCCUUUCUCUGAAUGCUGGUGCCUAG